GUUCGCAUCCCACAAGCGGAAGGUCUGCGAAACCUUUAUUCGUGGGUUCGAUUCCCGCCCGCGCCUCCA
rnacentral:tRNA from 1 species